GUGGGUGGGAUGACGCUCCUAAACAGUAGGAUACGUAGCUAAUCGCUCUGGUUUUGCUCUGGCUACUCACCCGGCCUAGAUGGUGUUUUGACUCUGCUGCAGACUCUGUUACGCUGUGACGUGCCACUGGUCGUGGGAGUCGUCGGGAGGCUUCAGGGAGACCCAUUAAGUCUAGAAAUGGACUCUGUAGCCAUUGAAGAUGUGGUUGUGAAUUUCAACCUGGAGGAGUGGGCUUUACUGAAUCCUUCACAGAAGAAACUCUAUAAAGAUGUGAUGUGGGAAACCUUCAGAAACCUGGCCUCAAUAGGGAAAAAAUGGGAGGAUCACGACAUUGAAGAUGAGUACAAAAACCAGGGGAGAAAACUAAGAAGUCUUGUGUUAGAGAGACUCUGUGAAAGUAAAGAAGGUAGUCAGUGUGCAAAAAACUUGAGCCUUAUUCCAAAACUCAGACUAAAGAAGAAAAUUACUGGAGUGAAACCAUAUGAAUGCAGUGCAUGUGGAAAAACCUUUAUGCAUCAUUCAUCCCUUAAAAGGCACAUCAGCCAUCACAGUGGGCACAAACUAUAUGAGUAUCAGAAAUAUGAAGAGAAGCCAUAUAAAUGUAAGGAAUGUGGCAAAGCCUUCAGUUAUCUUCAGUGUUUUGAAAAACAUGAAAGAAAACACAAUGGACAGGAAAACUAUAAAUGUAAGGAAUGUGGGAAAGCUUUUCGUUUUCGCACAUCCUUUCAAACACAUAAAAGAGUUCAUACAGGAGAAAAGCCCUAUGAAUGUAAGGAAUGUGGGAAAUCCUUCAUGUGGCUCACAACCUUUCAAAGACACAUGAUAACACACACUGGAGAUACACCCUAUAAAUGUAAGGAAUGUGGGAAACCCUUUAAGUGGCUCACAACCUUUCGAAGACACAUAAUAAUGCACACUGGAGAUGCUCCAUAUAAAUGUAAAGAAUGUGGGAAAGUCUUUAGUUUUUUAAGUGCACUACAAAUACAUGAAAAAACCCACAUGGGAGAGAAACCCUAUCAAUGUAAACAAUGUGGAAAAGCCUUUAGAUAUCGUCGAACUUUUCAAACACAUGAAAGGACUCACACAGGAGAGAAACCCUAUGAAUGUAAGCAGUGUGGUAAAGCUUUUAUUUCUCGUGUAGGAUUACAGAACCAUGAAAGAAAUCACAGUGGAGUGAAAUUCUAUAAAUGUAAAAAAUGUAGUAAAGCAUUCAGUUAUUCCAGUUCUCUUCGAAAACAUGAAAGAAAUCAUAAUGGAGAGAAACCCUAUGAGUGUAAGGAAUGUGGGAAAGGCUUUAUUUUUCUCUCAAGCCUUCGAGCACACAUGAUAAGUCACUCUGGAGAUGGACCUUAUAAAUGUAAGGAAUGUGACAAAGCAUUCAAUACUCCCAGUUCAUUUCAAAUACAUGUAAGGACUCACACUGGAGAGAAGCCUUAUAAAUGUAAACAAUGUGGGAAAACUUUCAAUUGGCCCACUUCCAUUCGCAGACAUGAAAGAAGUCAUAGUGGGGAAAAACCCUAUGAGUGUAAGCAAUGUGGAAAAGCCUUUAGUUGUCCCAGAUCCUUUCAAAGCCAUGAAAGGAGACACAGUGGAGAAAAGCCCUAUGACUGUAAGAAAUGUGGUAAAGCCUUCAGUUGUCCAAAUUCAUGUCGAAAACACGAAAGAAGUCAUAGUGGAGAGAAGCCCUAUGAAUGUAAGGAAUGUGGGAAAGCCUUCAGUUCCCUCACCAAAUUUCAAAGGCAUGUGAUGAAGCACACUGGAGAUGGACCUUAUAAAUGUAAGGAGUGUGGGAAAAUCUUUGAUUGUCCCAAUUACUUUCGAAGUCAUGAAAGGACUCACAGUGUAGAAAAGCCCUAUGAAUGUAAGAAAUGUUAUAAAGCCUUCAGUACUCCCAGGUCCCUUCGAAGACAUGAAAGAACUCAUACUGGAGAGAAACCUCAUGCAUGUAAGGAAUGUGGUAAAGCCUUCAGUUAUCCCAGUUUCCUUCAGAAACAUGAAAGAAGUCAUACUGGGGAAAAACCCUAUCAGUGUAAGCAAUGUGGUAAAGCUGUCAGUUAUCUCAGUUCCCUUCGAAGUCAUGAAAGAACUCAUAGUGGAGAAAAACCCUAUGAAUGUAAGGAAUGUGGGAAAGCCUUUAUUUUUCUCUCAAAAUUUCGAAUACACAUGAUAAAGCACACUGGAGUUGGACCUUAUACAUGUAAGAAAUGUGGAAAAGCCUUUGAUUGUCCUAGUUCAUUACAAAACCAUGAAAGAACUCAUACCGGAGAGAAACCAUAUGAAUGUAAAAAUUGCAAUAAAGCUUUCAGUCGUCUUCAUUCUUUACGAAACCAUGAAAGAACUCAUGUUGGAAAGUAGCACUAUGAAUGUAAGACAGCGGUAAAUUCUUCAGUUCUAUCACCAAAUUUUGAAAUUAUGUGGUGAAGCACACUGGAUAUGGACCUUAUAAAUAUAAGGAAUUGGGAAAACCUUUGAUUUUUCCAGUUUAUUAUGAAAUUGUGAAAAAAACUUACACUGGAGAGAAACCAUGUGAAUGUAAAAAUUAUAGGAGAGACUUCCAUUGCCCAAAGCAUGCAAACACUCAGAAAGUAGGCCUAUGAUUGUAAGGAAUGUAGAAACUUCAGCUAUCCCAGUUCGGUCAUUCUUUUUCCUUUUUUUUUUUUUUUUUUUUUUUGCCAUGCUUGCCAAAGUUCCCAGGCCAGGGAUCAAACCUGUACCGCAGCAGUGACAAUGCUGGAUCCUUAACCUGCUGUGCCACCAGAGAACUCUCAUCCCACUUUAUUCUGAAAACAAACAAACAAAAAAAGAAUUUACACUGGAGAGAAACACUAUGAAUGCAAACAAUAUGGUAAAGCCUUAAUCACUUCCUGUUAUGUUCAAAUACAUGAAAGAACUCAUACCAGAAACAAUGUAAGGAAUAUUGUAAAGCUGGUAUCACACAACAUUUCAAAGACACAAGAUGAUGCAUACCAUGUAAAUGUGAGGGAUUGGGGAAAAUCUUCAAUCACCUUUUUUCUUGAAAAAGAACUUAAUCUAGAGAGAAUUUUGUUAAGUAUAAAAAAAUGAAAAUCUUCAUUUACCCUAUAUCUUUAUAUAUGAGAAUGUACACUGGACAAAUACCAUACAACUGAAAUGUAAAACUAUUCAAUUUAAAAAUAUUUUCAUAGUCAUGUGAAAACUGCACUGGAGAAAAACUCACAUUAAUAUAAGUAAUAUGGGUAAGCCUGGUGCAAAUUAAUUUAUGUAGAAUACUGAAAAGAUACAAAAUGGAAGAAAUGUUAUAAACCUUAAACAUGUAUUAUCUUUAUAAGUGACAUACUGUGUAGCAUGGAGUUUACUUAUUUUUGCAAGUAAUAAUGAGGUAAGAAAAAUAAUUCUGUAGGUACUCUUUAGGCAGUUGUUUCUAAGUUUAGUAAGUAAUUGUAGCUUUUGCUCAGUUAAAUUUUAUGUUUUUAUUUUGAGGACUCUUGGAUCCAUGGGUAAAUUGAAGUAUAUUUCUAACAUGUGAGUUUAAUUUUUAUAUAAUUUUGUGGGUUUUUUUUUUUUUUUUUUUUUGUAAAUAAGGGAACACUGAAAAAUAACACUUUGGUAUUUGCUUGUUUAUCAUACUGGCCUCCUGUGGCAAGUUCUUGACAUCCUUUGUGCAUUAUAUACAUAUUCCACCUUUCUUAAGAGAAUAUUAACUCUUCAUUGUCCUGAAGAUCUUUACUCCAUUUCCUUGCUAACAAAAAGUUGGCAUGUAUUUGUUAGUAGGCCAAGUUCAUCAUAUAGUCUCAUGUGAAUAAUUAUUUUCAUCUUUUGUCCUUUGUUCUUUGCCAUUCUUUCUGGCAGGGAUUUGGGCUGUGGAAUUUGCAUUAAGAGAGACCUGUAAGAGGACAAUAAAAUCUAGAGGAGAUGACCCUUU